rnacentral:rRNA from 1 species
CGGAUUACAGCCUGCAACCCGGCUGUAUGAAGCUGGAAUCGCUAGUAAUCGCAAAUCAGAAUGUUGCGGUGAAUACGUUCCCGGGUCUUGUACACACCGCCCGUCACACCAUGGGAGCCAGGAAUGCCCGAAGCCAGUGGCCUAACCGCAAGGGAGGAGCUGUCGAAGGCAGGCCCGGUAACUGGGGUGAAGUCGUAACAAGGUACC